rnacentral:rRNA from 1 species
AACGAACGCUGGCGGCAUGCCUAACACAUGCAAGUCGAACGAGACCUUCGGGUCUAGUGGCGCACGGGUGCGUAACGCGUGGGAACCUGCCCUUAGGGUCGGAAUAACUCCCCGAAAGGGGUGCUAAUACCGGAUAAUGUCUUCGGACCAAAGAUUUAUCGCAUUUGGAUGGGCCCGCGUUGGAUUAGCUAGUUGGUAGGGUAAAAGCUUACCAAGGCGACGAUCCAUAGCUGGUCUGAGAGGAUGAUCAGCCACUCUGGGACUGAGACACGGCCCGGACUCCUACGGGAGGCAGCAGUGGGGAAUAUUGCACAGUGGGCGAAGGCCUGAUCCAGCAAUGACGCGUGAGUGAUGAAAGCCUUAGGGUUGUAAAGCUCUUUUACCCGGGAUGAUAAUGACGGUACCGGGAGAAUAAGCUCCGGCUAACUCCGUG